AAACUACCCAGACUUAGUACUAAGUUUACCACAAAAAUUAGGUCCAGACUUUUCUUUCAGCAUUAUAAACAAGCUGGAAGAGAUAUGAUCUCAAUUAGAUCAUCACCAGUUUCUCCAUACAUUUUACAGGACCUUUUGAAUUUUCGUUUGUUCCUUUAACAGGUUUUGGAGUUUUGUUCGUGUUCUUCAAAACUGUGGGUAUGGUGUGGUAGGACAUGUCUGACUGUAUUAGGCGUGUGUUUUCUACACACAGAAGUCAUCAAGAACAAAAGGCACAAGGUUAAAUCAAGGACAAGAGUAAAUGAUACAAUCCAGAGCUGUGGUGAAAGGUACAUGAGGGCUGCUGCUGAAGCAACGUGGCUUCAUUACUGUUCAUUAAACUCUUUUCUUCAUAGCACCAGCAGCCUGAAGUAAGGGCAGCACUGAAUUGAGUUGGUACUAGAUGUCACCUGGGGCUUCAUGAGUAAGAAAUGGAAACUAUAAAGCCUGUUUGAACUAUGACGUUGAACUGUAUAAUUUCUCGUGAGUAUUACUGAUGAAAGCAAAUCAUAGUGCCAUUCCAGAUUAAUGGAAAUACAGACUAGCAAUGCCACACCUAGGAAGGUCACAUGGCCACUGGAGGUGUGUCUCAGUGGUAAAGUGUGUGCUUAGCACAUUCCAUAGCCCUGAACUUGAGCCCUGAUAUUACCAAGAAGAGAAAACUAACAAGAGAGGAAACAAUUCUGAGGCCAUCUAUCAUGGUGUAAAUGUGUCCCCCAAAGUUCAUAUGCUGGAAACUUAACCUACAGUGCAACAGUGUUGGGCAGGUAGAGUGCAUUAAGAGGUGAGUGGGUAUGAGGUAGGCCUUAUGAGCAGAAAUUGUCAUUGUCUUGGGAAUGGGUUACUUAUCACACAAAUGGAUUUAUGAAAGUGGCCUCAGUCCCUUCUGCUUGUUUGUAUGUGCCUUCUCCUGCCUUUUUAUCUCCCAUGGCAGGAGGUUACAGCAAAGAAACCCUCUUCAGCAUGCAAGCAGGUGUAACACCAUGCCUUUGGACUUUCCAGCUCCCACAAUUCUAUAAUUUUCUAAAAUUGUAUUUUCUAAAACUCCAUAAUUUUCUUUUCUUUGUAAAUUGCAAUAUAGAAGUAUAAAAUAGCCUUGAGGCACUAUUUAUAGAAACAAUUCUUUUAGGGACAAACAAAUUUAAUCAUGACAGUACAUUUCACUAACUUACAAAUUAGUUCCUUUGUUGGAUGACUUUAGAUAUGAGAAACACAUUCAUUAUUUUGAGGUAUAAUUUUAUGUCAGUUAGAUGUGUAGGCAGCAGCAAGCACUCUCACCUGGAGUACCACUAUCAGGUGGGUAGUGAGCUGUGGAUGUCAGCUCUGUGGACCUGCUCUGAAUGCUCCAGUGUAUUGCAAAUAUCUCAGCCCGGAUAUAGUCUACAUGUCCCAAAUGUGCGAGGGAACAAUCAAAUUCACCUCCAAUGUCUGUUAUGAGACUUGGGGAAAACCCAUACUCAAUGUCUGGAUUCUCAGACCUGCUUCCCUUGAGAUGUCUCAUGCAGUCAGCAGCCUCUAUCUCAGAUGGUGGCAUCACCAAUUGCCACCACAGCCUGCAUUUCUACCUGAACUCACAGUAGCCAUACUCUACUGUCCGGCACAUGCAGUCAGUGUGCUGGGGUGUCCACAAAAUCCCCAGAUUCUGAAUGGUCUGAUUUCAUCUAUUCCUUAUUUUCAUGCUUAUUUGUGUACAUACUUUAAGAGACAGAGGUCUCACUUGCCCUAAAAGUCCCCAACCAUGGGUGACAGGCAAAUGGCACCUCACCCCCAAAAGACUUACUUUAAAGGCACAUCUUUGAUCAUAUAUAUUUACAAAAUUG
rnacentral:lncRNA from 1 species